UACAGAGGUCCCAAGCGUUGUUCGGAUUCACUGGGCGUAAAGGGUGCGUAGGUGGUCGGGUAAGUCUGAGGUGAAAUCUCCGAGCUCAACUCGGAAACUGCCUUGGAUACUAUCCGGCUUGAGGGUUGGAGGGGGGACUGGAAUUCUCGGUGUAGCAGUGAAAUGCGUAGAUAUCAGGAGGAACACCGGUGGCGAAGGCGGGUCUCUGGGCCGAUACUGACGCUGAGGAGCGAAAGCCAGGGGAGCAAACGGG
rnacentral:rRNA from 1 species